ACCACGUUCCAGCAUUGCAAUUUCUUCCUUGCAACCUUUAUUGCAAUGUGUCUGCCCCUGAUUGUGCUACAUCAGCACUUGCAGAUUAGAAAGAGCAAUUCCUAAGAAAAUGAAAGGAGUUGAUUCUUCCCAGUCUGCUGGUUACUCAGGGAAGGAAUAGGCCUGCCUCAAGAGACAAAAAGGCCAUUGGUCAAUCGCAUGUUCCUUAGAGCCACGCUGUUGUCAGAUCCUUGGAAAAAUGUGUUUGAUCUUCUGUCCUUUAACUGGAUACCUGUGCCAAGGCUAAAUUUGUAAAUUUUUUUUUUUUUUUUUUUAAUGCUUGAAGAUUGAAAGGCUUUUAAGACUGGACUGUUUGGAAUGCAGCACAAUUUAGGGUGAAAGUGUUGAAAUAUAUCCCUUACGUACACAACGCUGGUUCUUCGGGGGUUAAAAUUAGCCCUUGAGGAGAAGGAUACAAUGAUUACAGAUGUUGAAAACAGUUUUGUAUUAUAAAAUCAAUAGAAAUAUGCCAAAAUAUUUGAAGGUGAGGAGGGACAGGAAGUGGGGUGUGAGAAUUAGCCAUGUAAGAAUGAUGAUUACUGUAUGAUAUAUAUUUUGCAUUAGAUCAAAAGGGUUUGAAGUGAUUGUACUCCCUUUAAAUAGCUUUGCUGUGCCAGAGUAAGGAAGAGCUCCUGCUACAGGGAGUUUACAGAUUAAGUAGACAGGAUGAGCAAGGGAUGGUUUAAGGGAAAAGAAAAACGUUAUUCUUGUUUUACACAUGGGGCAAUGAGGCAUUGUAAGAUUGACAUGAUUCUCUGGAGAAAGAAAUUUUUAAACUUAAAUGGUCCUAAAGUCUGCAUUUUUGCAUAUGUCAAAAAUCGCAGCAAAGAUACUCUAUAAAAAUUUGCAGAACAGUUCAUCUUUUAAAAAUAAGAAAAUAGUAGGAUCCAUCUAGAAAGAUUUUUUUAAGACAUUGCCAAUCUACUAUAGCAAGUAUUUCAGGAUUACAUAAAAGUGCAUCCACAUUAAAAUAUGUCCAAUAACAUAUCAUCCUGAUUCAGUUGAAUAGGUUACAGUGUUCUGCACAUUAUAUUCUUACAUUAAAGCAAAAAAUAAUUGUAGAAAAAAUCAAAUCAACCUUGAAGAUGGCCACCCCAUGUGUUCGUAGUGGCUAAAAUAAUCAGUGCAAUUGUAGAAGCAAUGCUGCGGGGGCUUAUUUUCAUACAGAGUGCUGAAAGUUUCUGAUAAGGGUGGAUAACUAACAAACAUAUUUUGCCAAUUCUAUUUAGUGGCACUCUGCAGCUCAAAGAUUGAAAGACAGUUGUUAUCAGCUGUCUCAGGAUCAGGCUCUGAAAGAGAUGGAACAUGGUGGAUUCAAGGUCAGAUUCACAUUCUGUCAAUAUGUGUGAAAUGAUUCUUUGCUAGGGAUGGCAGUCAAAAGGGUUCAAGCCUUCCUGGCACUAAUGUUCUGAAAAAUUGCAGUUAGUAAGAAGAAAGGGAGUCUACCUGUUAUGCUAAGGGCAGACUUACCAAGAUCUCUCUCCUUUUCUGGCUCGCAUUUGAGCUAACUUUUAGUCCAUGACAUUUUUCAGAGGGCAAUUUAUUCCUUUGAUUCUGUCACGCAGAGUUCAGAUUUAUUUUCAGACUCGCUGUUCACCCUAUUCUACCAUUGUCAAACAGUGUCUCAUAUUGACAAGAUGUUCCUCCUCCAUCGCAUUAUUUCUGUUGCUGUUCUCUGCCACUCUCGGUUCGUAUGUAUGCCUGUUUCUUUGUUCCUCCUGCACUUCAAGUCAUUUGUCCUAGCCCACAGGCAGGUUUCUGCCCGUCUGCUUGUCCACAGCUGGGCAACCUUCAACCUUCAACCAGUCAGUUCUUCUCCCUGCUCUUUUCUGCGCAUGUUCCUCUGGCUCUCACUGUGAGAGAACCCCGUAACUCUGGUUUUCAUUUCCACCAUAAGUUGCCUACUCACUGGAUGCUGAGCUCAGUAGCGUGGGAUUCUCUGUUACUUGGAAAUUCACCUAUAGUCUUGUACUAGUUUUGGCAGGGAUGGAGUUUAUUUUCUUCAUAGUAGCUCCUGUGGUGCUGUGCUUUGGAUUUGUGAUCAAAACAGUGCUGAUUACAGAGGGAUGUUUUUGUUAUUGCUGAUCAGUGCUUACACAGUGUCAAGGUGUUUUCUACUUCUCACAGUCUCCCACCAGCGAGCAGGCAGGGGGCGCACAAGAAGUUGGGAGGGGACACAGCUGGGACAGCUGACCCCAACUGCCCCAAGGGAUAUCCCACACCAUAUGACAUCAUGCUGAGCAAGGACAGCUGAGGAAGAACGAGGAAGGGUGGGACGUUUGUCUUCCCAAGUCACCAUUAAACAUGAUGGAGCCCUGCUUUGAUGGAGCCCUGCUUUUCUGGAGAUGGCUGGACACCUGCCUGCCAAUGAGAAAUGAAGCUGUCCUUGAGAGAAACCCUGGGCCACUUCCUUGAGAAACUUUAAGAAGUCUGAAUUUGAGAACUUUUUCAUCCAGUGUCUCUCAGCUGCCAACCACAAGGACCAGAAUGAUGAGCUGGGGGAAGUCUGAGCCAGAGAUGACAGAAGGAGAGCUAAUAUAUUGGCACAAGGUCUUUGUAAUGGGUCCAUUAUACUCCUGUGACGGCAGAUUGCCCUCUCAAGAGAUUCGCCCUCAGCAGAUAGCAGGGUAUGGAAACGCAUGUUCACAUCUUCAGAGAUGAGAAACAGCAUGCGUCAUGACCAGCGGAUAUUUCAUAUUGGCAAAGAAUGAUUUUAUGUCAGGUUGGAAGCUGCUAGAUGCUAUGAAUGGCAACGACGGUGCCAGCUAUCCCUUCAGAACAAAAACAAAAACAAAAAAAACCAAAACAAACAAAAAAAGGAAAUGCAUACACACCAUGUCAGAAACACUUAAAACAUUCUGGUUACACAUGUAAUUGAAGUGAAAGGCACCUCACACCUGCUGUUCAGUUGAGAGAUAAACCACAAGAUAACUAUGACGUGGCAGAAUGUGAUAACACAUGGAAAGCCUUUACUUCAAAAUGUUGUAGUUCAUGUUGCUUGCUUUGUAAACUCCUUGAUGACAGAGAGUGUGAUUUGAUGGAGGCAUUAUAUAAUCUUUGACUUGGGUGAAAUAUCUGGCUUUUUUGAAACAUCUAGUCAAGGAUUUGGAUGAAUCACUCAGAUGUCCUGUUCAGACUUUUUUUUAACCUGAGCAGGAAAAUAAAUGUGCUUCCAAAACUUCUGUGAUGAAGUACAAAGAAAGGGUCUUUGCAAAUGUAGGUAAGAAAGCUGGUGAGGACUCUGCUCUGUACUUGACUGAGUCCAGAGAGGAGAGUUUGCAUUAAAUAAAUGUAUGUGCAUGGUCAUAAUUAAUAUUAUUUUUGUAACUAUUAUACUUGUUACAUUCAUUAUAAUAUUUUUAAGUUUACUAAUAGAUGUAUUACUCUAGAUAUAUUUACCAAGAAUUCCUGUUUGUUAAGAAUUUAAGUACUGUGCAGUUUUAUGGGGGAAAUAAAGCUUAAAAGCAGCUGGGGAAAAGUGAAAUGAAUAUGGAUUUUUUUCAUCACAGUUUGACCCAGGUUACCUCAUCCGUGGAAUUUACAGAGGACGCAGAUGUCACAACUGACUAAGACUUCAGUUCAAACUAUCUCAGAAUGCUGGAUCAAGUCUUUCAUGAAACCACAGUCCGACAUGUGGGACUACAUGCUGUGGUUGGCAGUUUACUACAUGGUGUUCCAGGGCAGAAAGACGAAUCCAGGACUUCCUAUCUUUCACUGCUUGUAAUUUGCAUGUCUGCGAGUUUGAGAGGAGACCCCAUGUGAUUCUGAAUUGUGCAUUUCUAUGCUCUUUUGCAAUUCUACUUCUGAUGUAGCUGCAGUACUAAAGAAAGGUUUUUGGAAUAAGGUUUAGUGCCCCCUCCUGCACAAUUAACGUAUGGACCUGGACCUGGUUCACGGUCUGUGGAGGUGAGUGGGUAGAGUCCCAGUGACUUCAGUGAAUAUUGUAAUUUGGUUCAGGGAAGUAAUGGAUACUGUACUUGCCUUUGCAGGAUUGAAAGCAAUAUGCUGUAGUCAGUGAACUCCUAUUAGUUUACAUAUGCAUACAGAAAAUGUACAAGUAUUUGAAGUUAAGAGCAGUGUUCACUUUUUCCCUUCCUGAAAGUCUUUCUUGAUGUCUUAGAGAAAAUUUUCAAUCAAAAAUGAAAUUAAUGAGUCUUACUGGAGAGGUCAUUUUAAGCAAUACAUGCAUUUUACACGUAUUUUUAAGUGAGCAAGAUCUUUUUCAUUUACAUAAAUUUCUCUGUUAUUCAUGUCGUUGUUUCCACUCACAGUGAAGACAAUACAGCCUUCCAGUUCAGACCUAAUUUUCAGAAAAAAAUUCAGGCAUAGCAACAUCAAAUCUAGUCAUGUAAUCAUCAUGCUCUGCAACAUUACUACUUUAGGGACAGUGAAGUUUAUAAAUCCACAAAACUUAGUAGAAAAAAACAGUGUAUUUUUAAAAGGGAAAUGCUGUUUAGAAGAAUAAUGAUUAAGUGAGAUUGAAAUGAUAGUACUCUUAACAAAACAAUUUACUGAAACAUUUUGAAAUGGAAAUGCCAGCAGGCAAUUUGUUUUGUUUUGAAAUAGGCUUCAACAUUGCAUUCUGCCACUGUGAUGGUAGGAUGAGGGAGGCAUGUAUACAAACACUUGCAUAUAUACAGGUAAAUAAAUACACGCACUCACACAUCUAUAUAUGCUCUAUGUGUGCAUACAUUUUUGCAUAGAGAUAAUUAUUUCCUUUGUAUUAUUUAUGUUCAACUCUUUAAACUUGAUACCUAUUGUAGCAGCAACUGUCUUAGAGUCUCACAGCAAUUGCAUAGUG